rnacentral:rRNA from 1 species
UCGGAAUUACUGGGCGCAAACGCGCACGUAUUGCGGCUUUGUAAGUUAGAGGUGAUAGCCUGGAGCUCAACUCCAGAAUUGCCUUUAAGACUGCAUCGCUUGAAUCCAGGAGAGGUGAGUGGAAUUCCGAGUGUAAGGUGAAAUUCGUAGAUAUUCGGAAGAACACCAGUGGCGAAGGCGUAUCACUGGACUGGUAUUGACGCUGAGUGCGAAAGCGUGGGGAGCAAACAGGAUUAAUACCCUGGUAGUCAAGGGCGAAUUCG